GUGAGGAAUAUUGGGCAAUGGGCGAAAGCCUGACCCAGCCACGUCGCGUGAGUGAUGAAGGCCUUCGGGUUGUAAAGCUCUGUGGGGAGGGAAGAAAAAGCGGGAGAGUAACUGCUCUCGUGUUGACGGUACCUCCUUAGCAAGCACCGGCUAACUCUGUGCCAGCAGCCGCGGUAAUACAGAGGGUGCAAACGUUGCUCGGAAUUACUGGGCGUAAAGCGCGUGUAGGCUGACAUGCAAGUCGGGUGUGAAAUCCCAGGGCUCAACCUUGGAACUGCACUCGAAACUGCACGUCUUGAGUACUGGAGAGGGAAGCGGAAUUCCGGGUGUAGAGGUGAAAUUCGUAGAUAUCCGGAGGAACACCAGUGGCGAAGGCGGCUUCCUGGACAGUAACUGACGCUGAGACGCGAAAGCGUGGGGAGCAAACAGGAUUAGAAACCCGAGUAGUCC
rnacentral:rRNA from 1 species